CUGUGCCUGGGCCAUAUGGAAGUUCCCAGGCCAGGGAUUGAUUGAACAUGUACUAUAGCAGCGACCCAAGCUACUGCAGUGAAAAAUGCCAGAUCCCUAACCCACUGCACCACAAGAGAACUCCCUAGAACACCCUAUUUAAAUUCUUUUUAAAACCAGGAAUAAUGAAUUUUACCAAAUGGGUUUAAUUUUUGGUCAUUCAACUUAUUAACAUAGUGAAUUAUAUUAAAGGUUUUUCAACUAUCAAAUCAUCCUACAUUACUGAAAUAAAUUCCAUUUACUUUCUUUAUAUUAAUAAUUAAAUGCACUACAGGAUUAUAUUUAUGUGAUUUAUUUAGCAUUUUACAUUAACAUCCAUAAAUAACAUAUCUAUAUAUAUUUUCAUGGUGAAAUAUUUUGGCAGUUCAUACUUAGAAAAUUUUUUAUCUUUUUACAGCCACAUCCACAGCAUAUGAAAGUUCCUGGGCUAGGAGUGAAUCGGAGAUGCAGCUGCCAGCCUAUGCCACAGCCAUGGCAACAUAGAAUCCAAGCCACAUCUGUGACCUAUGCUGCAGCUUGCAGCAGUGCCAGAUCCUUAACCCAAAGGCCAGGGAUUGAGCUUGCGUCCUCAUGGCACUAUGUGGGGUCCUUAAACCACUGAGGCACAAUAGUAACUCCAGAAAAGUUUUUAAAAUAUUGGAAUUUUCUAUCCUUUAAAAGUUUAAUUGACUUCACCUGUGACUCCAGUCUGGGCUGAUGUUUUUUAGAAUGAAUAUUUGGAAACCCCAGCUUCUCCCUUCACUCAGAAGGGAUAACUCUGAGGCAUGAUCUGUGGUUUUUCAUAAUCCCUAACUACAUGGGAGGCAGCUGCUCACAGCAGGGACCUUCUCCAUACUGCACCCUUAUGGGCAUCCUUCCCUUCCCUGUCUCUCUUCUCUACUUCCCAUCUAGUGAUUUCUUAGGUCAUCUUCCAAAUACACUGCACUGAAAUCUCUGUCUCAGUGUCUAAACCUGGAGCAAAGCAACCUAGACACUUUCCCAACAGCUCCAUAACAAAAUUCAUUUAAGCUUAUUACCAUUAAUUCUGAGUCUCAUUCAGAGUCAGAACAGAAAGAAAUCAGGCAUUGUGAGGUGAGAGUCAAUGAUGAAAAAAAGUUCUUUGUAGGAACAGUAUUUUCAAAUUCAAUGAUCAGGACAACUAGCUAACAAAUUGUGUCAUCAUUUCAUGAUUCAUUAUAACUGUUGAAUAACAAAGAUUUCCUAUGUUGGUAAAAAAUAUGCUAUUGUUAUGCUUUAAAAAAGAACAAUUGAAGAACACUAUGGCUGUUGUAAUUUUAAUUUGCCCUUUUAAAUUAACUUAUAGCAAAUCUGCAUUUGCCUAUACUUAAUCUUCGGAGUCUAAUAUAAUGUUCUAAAGUUUGAAGGAUUUUUAUGAUUACUAAUAACGUAAGUACUAAUAACAACUUGGGAUUUACAACUCUCUGUAUAGGUUGGGCUUAUUCCAAAUGAUGGAAACUGAUACCAAAGAAAAUCUAAGAGAAUAUCAAUACUUUUUUAAAAAGUCACAAUCCUAUAAAAAAGACACACUGAAGAAAUAUAUUAUUUACUAAUCUGUUAUUAAUAUAACAGACCUAAUCUGCUUUUAGAAGUUGAGUUUCUCUGGUGAUUUACUGGGACCUUAGUUAUACUGAAGGACUACUGUUUGCAGUACUUAUCAUGAGACACACAGGCAUUAAUUACACAGUCCAUCUUACCCAGUAGUGGUAUUGGCUAAAGAGGAUUCAGUGCUGUACUUACAUUUUAAGACUACCUUAUUCUUUCUGAUCAAGACAAGCUCCCUGCUGUGAAUACCUAUACAUCGAACGGAGUGAUUUUAUCUAAUAGAGACCUGAUUAUCUCAGGAAGGCAUACUUUCUUACUCUAUUUCAAAUGGAUAAGAUUUUUUUUUUUAAAUCAAACAACAUUUUUGGUGCACUUUCCCUGGGAAGAAAUUUACUUUUUCCAUGAUCAUUUAACAACUCUUUUUGGCAUCAGAUUAGUCUUAGAUACACAUCCUCCACCCAGUUUCACAACUCUCAAGGCUGCUUGUGGAUUUGGAAGAUUGACCUAGCCCAAACAUUCAUAUAAAGAAUGCCCUUGAGAGCAUAUUUUGAUUAGUCUGGACUCAAUUAAUAUCUGCUCUCUUCAGAUUUAAAUUUCACUCUCAUAAGAUAGCCAGAGACAAUUUUCCAAGAAAAAUAAUGUAAACCUUUUUAUUUGUAUUCUUAAAAAAAAAGAAACUACAUAUAUAAGAGAAAACAUAGUUUGGAUAGAUUUUUGAAAACUGCUAUUUUUAUUAACAUGGAUUUGUUCCUUUUGAAAUUUGAAUCAUUAUUUGCAAAGUAUAAUUCUGAACUAUUAAAAAAUCCACUUUAGUAAAGUAUGGAUUUAACCUUUUGUUAACAGACUUAUUUAUCUUCCUUUAGGUCUUUAAGAAUACCAUCUAUCAUCAAAAAAAAUACAGUAAUAACAAGUGAUGGUGAGGAUGUGAAGAAAAGGAAACCCUGUAUACUGUUGGUGAGAAUGUAAAUUUGUGCAGCCACUGUAGAAAGCAGUAUGGAGGUUUCUCAAAAAAUUAAAAAUAGAACUACUCUGUGACCCAGCAAUUCCAUUCCUGGGUAUAUAUCUGAAAAAAAAAAAAAGACACUAAUUUGAAAAGAUACAUGCAUCCCAAUGUUCAUAGCAGUAUUAUUUGUAAUUGCCAAGAUAUGGAAGCAUAUCAAUCCAUCAAUGGAUGAAUGGAUAAAGGUGUGUGUGUGUGUGUGUGUGUGUGUGUGUGUAUUCCACAAUGGAAUACUACUUAGCAAUAAAAAGAAUGAAAUUUUGCCAUUUUCAGUGAUAUAGAUAGACUUGAGGGUAUUGUGUUAAGUGAAACAAGUCAGAGAAAGACAAAUACUAUAUGAUAUCACUUAUGAGUGGGAUCUAAAAAAAUACAACCAACUAGUGACUAUAAGGAUAUGUUACACAGCACAAGGAAUAAUGCCAAUAUUUUGUAGUAACUAUAAAGAGAGUAUAACCUUUAAAACUAUGAGUCACUAUUUUGUACACCUAUAACAUUAAAUACUGUAAAUUAAUAACUAUAUCUCAAUAACACUAUACUUCAAUUAAAGACUUUUUUAAAUUGCCUAAAUUAAUGAAAGCCUGCUGAAAAAUUUUAAAGAAGUUUGGUAACUACAUUCUAUUUCAUGAUUUUAGAUAAAUUUUGUUCUGUUACAAAAAUCAAUGUAGCAUUUAACAUAUUUUUUUCCUUUAGAUAAUGUUCUAAUGAGAAGGCUUUAUGUGCAUUAUUUCAUUUUAUAACUUGACCAAGAUCAUCUGGCUAUUAAAUAGUGGAAUCAAGAGAGAAAUCCAGACAGUUUGAUUCCAAAAUUUAUGCUAUUUAUUAGAGUGUUUGUUUAUGAUACCCUUUCCAUAAAGGAUUUUUUUCCCAAGAUUAAUUUUAAAUCUGACCUGCAGGGAUACAUCAAAUGCAGUAAGAUUACAUAAAUUAGAAACAAACUCAGAAUGGAUAAGUAAUGAGAUCCUGUUGUAUAACACUGGGAACUAUACCUAGUCACUUAUGAUGGAGCAAAAAAAAAAAAAAAAAGAUAAUAUUCUAAGAAAGGUAAGUUUCUAGAGAAAAAAUUUAAAAUGUGGUGGUAAAUACCAAGAGCUAUUUUAUAAGGUCAGAGAUUUGGUUGUUACUAUACAAAAUGGUGACAUAAGUAAAAUUUGUCAGGAACAUUCACAUACCAUUUACUUACUCUUUUGGAGGAAGGGGACUCUGUCAUCUCAGAAUCUUAGACCCAGUACCAACCCUCAACUUGGGAAGGAAAGAUGCCCUAAACAAAUUAGAACUGGGGAUGCCAAUUGCACAUUUCACAAACGAGGUAACUCAGACACCAAAAGGACAAUGCAUUUGCUCAAUUUCCAGAGGAACCAAGUUAGAAAAUGGUACAUGUAUACUGAUUAACAUUCAGUUAAUGGGUCAUGUUGCAAUUCUAAUAAUAAAACAACUAUUAUAUCUGAGAAGUCACAAAAAUUAUUCCUAUUGUGCUAAAUUUCAUUAACAUAAUAAUAUUAAUAGAAUGUCCUAUUUUUUCUGUAAAGCCCUAUUGAAGGGUGACAUCUUUAAAAUUUAAUUUUAUAUAGUCUCCUCAAGCAAGCUGUCUCCUCUCAAUCCAGUCCAGUUUAGGUGCUCUUCCCACAUGCUUCCAUAGUUCCCUUUCUCCAUCAUGGUACUUUCUCUACCUUGAUUGUCUUAUGUCUUACCCAUCUCCUCCAGUGAACUCUAAACUCUUCGAAUACAGACAUCAAAUUUAUGCAUCUCUAUGCACUAAAAUCAUGUUAUUGACUCGAAUAAAAUAGGUGCCCAGUCAGUGCUAAAUGGAUGAAUUAAUGAAUAUUCAUGGUUCCAAGACCCCAUUAUUAUUGCCUACCCCUAAGAUCUGCUCACAGCUUGUUCUCAAGGUAAUCAAGAUUUUAGUUAAUAUAGGUUACCAUGAUGUUCCUCUUAAAGAUAUUUAAGUUUUCACUGGGGACAUAUAAGAGUCUACAAAAAUUCUGGUAAUGGACUUUCAGUCAUUGUAAUAGACUAUUAGGGAGGGAAGGAUGUACUUUUUUAAACAGAGAGACUCUCCAUAUCACAUCACCACUUAAACAGCCCACAUCACCACCACCCAGCCUUGGUGUUAUGCAGAGACAACAAACAGAUAUGUAUGCUUUCAGAGAGAUCCCGUGGGUCUGAUGAAUGCUAAGGUACAUGAAACCAUAUUGCUGUGAUUGGACCUGACUAGAUUAAACUUCCUUUUGGCUUGCUUUGCAAUGCUUCUGGUAUGAGAUGAUAUGAAAGAGAGAAGUAGUACAUGGCUAGUUGCAACCUUAGUAAGCAUGUGUCUUAUGGUUGCUGAGGCCUCCACUUUUUGCUAUUUUGAUUCUCACCUGGUAAUGAUUCCAGAUGUAUGACAUCUGAAAAAGACAU
rnacentral:lncRNA from 1 species